CUGGCAGGUGCCUGUGGAAGGGGGAUCUGGGCAGUUACCGUCUGAUGACACAGCAGGGCUUUGGAGGCUGCCCAAGGAAUCUUGAAUCGAAACAGGAAACCCCACGCUAAUUCCCCUCUCAGGUUAGGCAAACCAGAAGUCUGCUCGUUGCCUCAACUUCCUUGCGGGUGUAACUGGAGGAUAACAAUGUCUCACUUUAUGGGGAGGUUGUGUGGAUAACAUGAGCUGGUGUGCAAGUGCUCUACAAAAGAUCAAUAAAUGUUAAAUACUACAGUACUACACGAUUCCCAGUUGAUUGAAUUCAGGAAUGUGGAACCGUGGGUACAGAGCAACUCUGUACAAGGUGG